UACGUAGGGGCCGAGCGUUGUCCGGAGUUACUGGGCGUAAAGCGCGCGCAGGCGGCUCGUCAAGCCUGACGUGAAAGCCCCCGGCUCAACCGGGGAGGGUCGUCGGGGACUGGCGGGCUUGAGGUCGGCAGGGGUUGGUGGAAUUCCCGGUGUAGUGGUGAAAUGCGUAGAUAUCUGGAGGAACACCGGUGGCGAAGGCGGCGUUCUGGACUGUUUCGUGACACUGAAUAACGAAAGCCAGGGGAGCAAACGGG
rnacentral:rRNA from 1 species